rnacentral:rRNA from 1 species
UUUUGGAUGGUCCCGCGGCGUAUUAGCUAGAUGGUGAGGUAACGGCUCACCAUGGCAAUGAUACGUAGCCGACCUGAGAGGGUAAUCGGCCACAUUGGGACUGAGACACGGCCCAAACUCCUACGGGAGGCAGCAGUAGGGAAUCUUCCACAAUGGACGAAAGUCUGAUGGAGCAACGCCGCGUGAGUGAAGAAGGGUUUCGGCUCGUAAAACUCUGUUGUUAAAGAAGAACAUAUCUGAGAGUAACUGUUCAGGUAUUGACGGUAUUUAACCAGAAAGCCACGGCUAACUACGUGCCAGCAGCCGCGGUAAUACGUAGGUGGCAAGCGUUGUCCGGAUUUAUUGGGCGUAAAGCGAGCGCAGGCGGUUUUUUAAGUCUGAUGUGAAAGCCUUCGGCUCAACCGAAGAAGUGCAUCGGAAACUGGGAAACUUGAGUGCAGAAGAGGACAGUGGAACUCCAUGUGUAGCGGUGAAAUGCGUAGAUAUAUGGAAGAACACCAGUGGCGAAGGCGGCUGUCUGGUCUGUAACUGACGCUGAGGCUCGAAAGUAUGGGUAGCAAACAGGAUUAGAUACCCUGGUAGUCCAUACCGUAAACGAUGAAUGCUAAGUGUUGGAGGGUUUCCGCCCUUCAGUGCUGCAGCUAACGCAUUAAGCAUUCCGCCUGGGGAGUACGGCCGCAAGGCUGAAACUCAAAGGAAUUGACGGGGGCCCGCACAAGCGGUGGAGCAUGUGGUUUAAUUCGAAGCUACGCGAAGAACCUUACCAGGUCUUGACAUACUAUGCAAAUCUAAGAGAUUAGACGUUCCCUUCGGGGACAUGGAUACAGGUGGUGCAUGGUUGUCGUCAGCUCGUGUCGUGAGAUGUUGGGUUAAGUCCCGCAACGAGCGCAACCCUUAUUAUCAGUUGCCAGCAUUAAGUUGGGCACUCUGGUGAGACUGCCGGUGACAAACCGGAGGAAGGUGGGGAUGACGUCAAAUCAUCAUGCCCCUUAUGACCUGGGCUACACACGUGCUACAAUGGAUGGUACAACGAGUUGCGAACUCGCGAGAGUAAGCUAAUCUCUUAAAGCCAUUCUCAGUUCGGAUUGUAGGCUGCAACUCGCCUACAUGAAGUCGGAAUCGCUAGUAAUCGCGGAUCAGCAUGCCGCGGUGAAUACGUUCCCGGGCCUUGUACACACCGCCCGUCACACCAUGAGAGUUUGUAACACCCAAAGUCGGUGGGGUAACCUUUUAGGAACCAGCCGCCUAAGGUGGGACAGAUGAUUAGGGUGAAGUCGUAACAAGGUAGCCGUAGGAGAACCUGCGGCUG